rnacentral:rRNA from 1 species
CCUACGGGUGGCAGCAGUGAGGAAUAUUGGUCAAUGGACGAGAGUCUGAACCAGCCAAGUAGCGUGAAGGAUGGCUGCCCUAUGGGUUGUAAACUUCUUUUAUAUGGGAAUAAAAUGUUCCACGUGUGGGCUUUUGUAUGUACCCUAUGAAUAAGGAUCGGCUAACUCCGUGCCAGCAGCCGCGGUAAUACGGAGGAUGCGAGCGUUAUCCGGAUUUAUUGGGUUUAAAGGGAGCGUAGGUGGAUUGUUAAGUCAGUUGUGAAAGUUUGCGGCUCAACCGUAAAAUUGCAGUUGAAACUGGCAGUCUUGAGUACAGUAGAGGUGGGCGGAAUUCGUGGUGUAGCGGUGAAAUGCUUAGAUAUCACGAAGAACUCCGAUUGCGAAGGCAGCUCACUGGACUGCAACUGACACUGAGGCUCGAAAGUGUGGGUAUUAAACAGGAUUAGAUACCCCAGUAGUC